rnacentral:rRNA from 1 species
UGGGGAAUAUUGGACAAUGGGCGAAAGCCUGAUCCAGCAAUGCCGCGUGAGUGAUGAAGGCCUUAGGGUUGUAAAGCUCUUUUACCAGGGAUGAUAAUGACAGUACCUGGAGAAUAAGCUCCGGCUAACUCCGUGCCAGCAGCCGCGGUAAUACGGAGGGAGCUAGCGUUGUUCGGAAUUACUGGGCGUAAAGCGUACGUAGGCGGUUAUUCAAGUCAGAGGUGAAAGCCCGGGGCUCAACCCCGGAACUGCCUUUGAAACUAGAUAGCUAGAAUCUUGGAGAGGUCAGUGGAAUUCCGAGUGUAGAGGUGAAAUUCGUAGAUAUUCGGAAGAACACCAGUGGCGAAGGCGACUGACUGGACAAGUAUUGACGCUGAGGUACGAAAGCGUGGGGAGCAAACAGGAUUAAAUACCCAUGUAGUCCCUGAGCGGGCUGGCAAGGCGCAU